UGGUACAGUAUGUGGUCGGACUAGAAAAACCAGGUACAUGCCGCUCAGUUGCACCAUGACCAAAGUGCACUCUUCAUUUUUAAAGGAUUUCAACCCACCUUGUCUCCUUGCCAAAAAGAAUGCGUUUGACCUCUCUCAGUUCCGCCUCUGGUAUAUGAGCGUCCAAAGUUUUCUCCAGGGAUUCGAACUCGCACGCCGACAUCUUUGCAGACGCUUCAGGUCGCGGGCCACAAUCACGGAUUUGUUUUAACCUAUUUCCUCGUCGCGCUGACGCACUUCCUCCUCACUCAGGUGGUGUACCUCCGGAUUUUUUCAACGCAAAAAAUGGCUUAAAAAAGGCCGUGGACUUUCUUGUCUCCAUCCAGGCCGGGGUUGCACAGUCUUCUCAGGAGCUCUGCGUCACAAUGCAACGUUACUACUGCGUACCUUGAAGGCUUGGUGGUACCUUUUCAACGCCCCGGUAGUACCUUUCACUUCUUGAUGGCACGGGCUGACGCUUUGUAGCAGCGACACGUACUUCAGACUUCCGUCGUCAUCAUUUCCUGAGUAAAAAGUAAGUUUACAUUCAUUUUUGUGGCAUUAAAUCUUUAAAAAAAACUUCAAAUAGAAAACCUAA